rnacentral:SRP_RNA from 1 species
ACUAGGCACGGUGGCACAUGCCUGUAGUCGUAACUACUCAGGAGGCUGAGGUGUGAGGAUGGCUUGAACCCAGGAGUUCUGAGCAGUGGUGGGCUAUGCUGAUUGGGUGUUUGCACCAGCAUCAAUAUGGUGACCUCCCAGAAGUGGGGGACCACCAGGUUGCCAAGGAGGGAUGAAGUGGCCCAGGUGAGAAACGGAGCAGGUCAAAACUCCCUUGCUGAUCAGUAGUGGGAUAGCACCUGUGAAUAGCCACUGCACUCCAGCCUGGGCAACAUAGUGAGACUCUGUCUCU